CAUACCUGUCACCUCAAAGGCUGACAAGAUUUCAUCCUCCUCUCUUAGGCUAUUCUUUCUUCUGCUUCUUUGAUUUGGACUUCACAUCAUCUUUUACUCUCGGUGGGGUUGGGUCUCCGUUUCCCUCAGUGUGAGAUUCAAGAAAUAGCUGGAGUGUACCUGUGUGUGAGUGUACCUGUGUGUGAGUGUACCUGUGUGUGAGCAUACCUGUGUGUGAGCAACCUGUGUGUGAGCAUACCUGUGUGUGAGCAUACCUGUGUGUAAGCAUACCUGUGUGUGAGCAUACCUGUGUGUGAGUGUACCUGUGUGUGAGUAUACCUGAAUGUGAGUAUAUCUGUAUGUGAGCACUGUAUUGAGACCCCGAGGAGGUACAACUGACUCAGGCCAGCUUACUGAAUGCAGAUCGACCCCCUCCAAAAUGAUCUCUGUGUAGGUAGAUCAUCAAGGGUGCUUCGGGAGGUUGACCUAAGUAUUAUUCGUCACGAGAGAUGUAAUCAGAUCCUUAAGGACAUCACAGGAAGAAUAUUUACCCUAGUCCAGGAAGGGGGAGUCUGUGGCUAUAAUAAGAAAGGAGGAGAUGCCUGCCAGGUCAGUUCAUGGGUCCCUUGUUGCUCUACCCUGCUGUCCUUUCCCUGGAUGUUCCUAAGUCCCAGACACUGGGGCCGCGAUUGUGUUCCAGAUCUUCCAUUUACUGUUAUCCAAGCUGAUGGGAUGUCAGGUCAAGCCACUACGGCUCCUGGGUUAGCCUGACAGGAUCCUCCAGGAGAAGACAGCUGAUGAUGUCAGCAGAGGAUGGGGGUGGGGUGGAUCAGGGAGGAGGUAAUACAAAUUCCAUGUUUUCAGCCCCUUCCGUGUGCUUGGGUAACUGAUUCAGUCAUGACUUCAGAAAGGGAGAACCAUAGUGGUU
rnacentral:lncRNA from 1 species